rnacentral:rRNA from 1 species
CCUACGGGAGGCAGCAGUGGGGAAUAUUGGUCAAUGGGCGCAAGCCUGACCCAGCAACGCCGCGUGAAGGAAGAAGGCUUUCGGAUUGUAAACCUCUUUUCUUAGGGACGAAAAAAGUGACGGUACCUCAGGAAUAAGCCUCGGCUAACUACGUGCCAGCAGCCGCGGUAAUACGUAGGUGGCAAGCGUUAUCCGGAUUUAUUGGGUGUAAAGGGCGUGUAGGCGGGAAAGCAAGUCAGAUGUGAAAACUCGGGGCUCAACCCUUGGCCUGCAUUUGAAACUGUUUUUCUUGAGUGCUGGAGAGGCAAGCGGAAUUCCGGGUGUAGCGGUGAAAUGCGUAGAUAUCAGGAGGAACACCAGUGGCGAAGGCGGAUUGCUGGACAGUAACUGACGUUGAGGCGCGAAAGCGUGGGGAGCAAACAGGAUUAGAUACCCGGGUAGUC